ensembl:lncRNA
AGAAAAUUUAGUUUAUCGAAUUUCUCGCCCCGACUUAUCGCGAUAUAUAGUUUCCUCGAUAACUAUCGAUAUCGUUUUAUCGCCCAGCACUAUCGUCUAUUCAUAAUUCCAUUAAUCCAUGAUGCAUCUCCACCAGUCUUUGAGCAGGAGCUUGUCCUCUCCAGUGUUUCCAGUUCUGAAAAAACACAUCUUGCGCCUAAAGAAACAGGAACCACUUGUGACGUGGAUAGGAGACCAUAUUGUUCACCUGAAGCAGAAGACCUCCAGAAGUUUUAUAGCUGCCCUCUUUCCACACAGUCUGCAGAACAGGAAACCACAGUGCAGAUGGUGGAUAACACUGAGGACAUUUGUACUCCUGCAAAAGUCAUCCAGCCAAGUGAACAUGGCAACAGUGGGGAGGAACCCACCUUCAUCUUGACUCUGUAUGAGAUCCCGGUCACUGAGGUCUACCCAGCUACAGCCACUAAUAACGACACUGUGAUGGUCCCACCUACUUUACCAUCUGAACCUGGUGGAGAACUUGCCCAACCAGCCAUGACACAAGACAAAUCUCAGCAAACCGUAAGACCUCAAGUGAAGAAUGAAGCCAGUGAAGAUGUGUCAGAUGCCUCAAAGGUUGAGAGUAAAGAAGAUCCAGAAUUGGUUCCACUGCAAACAGAAACAGAAGAUAUUCUAGAUGUUCCAAAAAAAGAAUCAAAGUCUGAGAGUGAAGAUGAUCCAGGAUUGGCCCCACUCGAGGGUAUGGAGCCUCAAUAUCAGAGCACACCAGUUCUAAUCCGGGUUUCAAAAUGCGUCGCCUCAAAGAGUAAAGUCGAUGCUUUACAGUAUAAGGAUGUUUCAAAAGAUGACACUCCAUAUGAAGAACCAAUAAAGGAGCAAAUGACAAAUAUUCCAAGAGCAUUACAUUCAACAGCAGUCCAGAGUGACUGUAAAACAACACUACCUGUGAAGAGAAGAGCCAAGAUUCAGGUGAAGCCCAGUCUGGUAGAGAGAAAGUCUGUUAGGAAGGAAUGCCCUAAACUGCCACAGACCAAUUCUCCAUCAUCAGCCGACCAAGAAACUGAGCUUAAGACAGAGGCUGAGACCUCAGCCAGGCGUGUCCGUAAAGACACUACAGUAAAACAUGACCUGGAGUCAAACACCAACAUCAAUAAAAGCCCCCUACCGACUGCCCACAAAGAGGACAACGAGAAGAGUGCUUUAAGUGUGAUGCCAACAACCACAGCUUCAUGUUUUGCUUCUCUGAAUUCUGAGGCAGCUGAAGCUGAGGACUGUGAGGGAGUUUCUCACAUGCUGUUGGCUGAUGUCUUUGUUCCAGUCUCUGAGGAGAUGGGUCAUGAUUUAAGUCAGGACUGGCAAGUACCUGGAGAAAGUCGUCUUCAUGAGGAGAAAGUCAGCCUUCCAAAUAUUCCAGAUGUUCAGUCUAAAAGAACUGAAAAGGAGGAAAAAACUAAGCAUGCAAAGCAAAGACGUGUCAAGACUGGCUCCACAAAAGCAGCAAAGAAACAGAAAGUAGACGUCUUGAACAUAAGUGCCACUGAAACGGUAGCAGGUCUCAAAGCCAAAGAGAAAUCAGAUUCUGAGACUACAGAAGAAGGCUUGCAGACACAGCCGAAGAUCAUGCCAUGCGCUGUAAAGGUCUCAAGAUGUACCGACUUCCAGCCAACUGAAACUGAAGGUGUUUCUCGGGUGUUUUUGCCUGCCGUAUUAGUGCCUGUGUCUGAUGAAGAGAGGGAAGAUGCAAGUAUGGAUUUGAUGCAGUCAAAACAGACAGAACUUUUCAGUCCACCAUCAACUUCAUCGAAAAAGAAGUCGAUAUUGAAGGAGACCAAACCAAAAAGGAAAGAAUCCACUACAAGAAAGAAAGCUGGCAAAUUAAUGGGUAAGGUUCCAUUUACUAAACAAGAUGUCAAGCAAACCAAAUCUUCAGAAAGUGACGCACCUGAAUCAGAAGACAGUGGUUUAAAGCAUCAGCAAACUGCUCCGGGAAUGCGCCAGCUAAGGAUAACCUCUUGGGUGAAGCAGUCCGACCAGACUGGAACAAAACUAGAAGUACUAGACCUCUCUAAGACCUCCCGAAUAGAGACAUCAAGUUUACGAACCAAAGAUGUGGCUUCCUCUGAAAACGAAGACUCUGUUAAGAAAGAGGAGACCUGUGGAGAAGUUUCUCAGACUGUCCUACUUCCUGCUUCUGAGGACACUGCUGGGGAAUCAAGCACCAUCACCACCAAGACUUGUAAAGAGGAACCAUCAGUCUCACAGAAAAAUAAAGCACCCGUCACACGGAGAGCCAAGCUGCAGGUGAAGCCCACAAUACCAAAAACUCAAACACGCACUAAAGAUAAAGGUGACUCCUCAGAGAGUGAUCAACCCAAGUCAUCCCAGCCGCCCUCCUCACCCCUCCGGCAGCGCACCAGGGCAGCUUUAUUAAAGAAAGAGUUUGAGGAAACAUCUAAGAAUAAGCCAACAGAAGAUGCAUUUAAAUCAGGCAAAAAGAGUGCUAAAGUCGGCCAGCCUCGUGAAGAAGGACCUUCUUUUGAAGCAGGGGUUUCCUCAGGCUCCUCACCCCCGACUUCCUCAAAACUGAAGACCUCUCCUGGCAUAGCACCCAAAGAGGAUUCUCCCAAGUCUAGUGAUGACACUGAAGAUGAACCAUCCAGAGUAUCUCAGUUCUUCCUCUGUGAUAUCUUCACUGAAGUGGAGGAUGGGGACUAACUGAUAUACUAACAUAAACACUGUGAUUUAUACACCCUCCCCCCCCCCCCCCCCCACCCUACAUCAACAUAAACAGUUACCAAAGCAAGUUUUUCAGUAUGUUUAAUUGAAGUAUUAUAUUUAAUAUUUUUAUUUGCCAUGAAAAUGCUGCAGUAUUAUUUUAAAGAUGUUCUAUAAUUACUAGAAGGUUCUGCUUAUUUCUGUUUAGUUACACUUGCUUCAUAUUUAUUUUGCUGCUAGAUAUUGGAAGCUUUUAUUUACAGUUGCCUUAUCGAUAUUAUUUUCUCUGUUGGUAAACAUUAUUAAACUAAAGUAUUACGGGUGAUUUAAUAUUGAAUGUAAUUGAAACAGGGACUGAUUUUUUGUUUCUUUUUCCUCAAAGUGCAAUGUGCCUAAUAUUUAUGACCAUGAAUGUGAAACUGUGGUUCCUUGUUAUGAAAAUUCCUUGUUGCCUUAUUUAUUUCUUGGUUAUUUAUUAUUAAACACUGCACUACUACAUGCAAUAUGUGGCACACUGAACUAAACAUUAAUUUCCUAACGCUUCACAUUUUCUCCAGUUUUAUUUUGUCACUAAAUAAUAAAUAAUGCAAUUUUUUGGCUUUUGGAAUCCA